rnacentral:lncRNA from 1 species
GGUAUUAUCUUGCAGUCCUUCGCGUUGUCCAUCUAUAUGGUCUGCAAGCUUCUCAUAUUUCGGUGAGGUUAGUCGUGGUUAAACAAGAUUUUAUCAAUUAUUGAAGGCUUAUGUUUCAUGAUAAGAUGUUGUAAUCAAUCUAUAAUUGGUUUAGAUUUUGGUAUUGAUACUAACCAAAACAGAAGCAGGUGAUUUUGUCCAGUAUAUUUUGUUUGGGCUCAUAUGGAUAAAUCAUGGAGAGAUGGCGCAUGCCAAAAUAAAUACACUCAUGCCUCGAUGUCCUUGUGAUUCCAAUGAAAGCUAGUCCUUCACAGCAUAAUAUGAUACCGAUCAAUAGCUCCAGGACCUCCCUAGCAAGCUGGGCAGUGCCACUGUCUUUCAGGCUCAUUUAAUCUGCUCAACAAUUAACUCAUCGAGGGAUUGAAAAACGUUCCUUAAACCAUAGCUUCAUUGCUGUAUUUGUUUUUAUUCUUUCAUCAACUUUUUUCUUUCCAAAUAGCGUUUUGAUGCGCCACAAACAUUCUGGUAC